GGGUUCUGACAGCUCAUUUCUCGGCCAAACACCCUAGAAAGGCCUACGCCUUUCGAAACGAACCCCCAGAUCCCACUAAGGUCUGCUGGGCCCUGCUAUGUGCAGGUAUGACGCUAGGUAGAAAUAGCGGACACAGCAAAGAGGACCAGGCCCUUUUCCUGGAGCUGUUUUUCUGGAUGUGAAGAAACAAACAAGAGGCAGACAGUGUGGUUGUGGGCAGUGAAGAGAAUCCCGGAGGAGGAGGGUCACUGGCCAAGGAAGGGACACCUGUGGCUGUACCAGAAGGAACGUUCAAGUGAAGAUCUUAUCACCGAGUGUAAAUGCAGGACAUACCUGGCUAGCUGGAGAGGCUUGCAGAAGGACUGUGAGAGAUGACUGAGUAACAGAAGAGACGGCUGGCAUUCUUAACCCUUUGGCCCAGGCAGGGUCAACCCCAGGCCUGAUGGAGGAAGGCUCUUGAGUUUACAGGGAGCUGGGGGUUGGGGGGAGAGGCUGACAGGUUCUUUCAGUGUCAAGCUAAUGAAUACCUUCACAACCCAGAAAUUGCCUCAGCUGACCCACACCCUGGCAAUAGGGGAGGUAGCCUCUGGGCCACUGUGUCAGGACACACAACAAGGUUUCAGUCCCAUUCUGGAGACUGGCCCAUCUGCCCUUUAAUCCCACCAUUGGCCAAAUGAACCCUUCAAGGCCUCUGUCUUUAUUCUGAUGCAUGCGUGAUCUCCUGGGUCUGGGGCUAUAGCUGGCCUUGAUGGACCACUGGCUGUCCCCAUGAACACUGCUGUUGCUCACCCACCCCUACCCUCACAGAGGAGGAGUAGCCAAGAGCUUGUGGCUCCUGUUCCUCCACUGGAAGUGUUGGGCCUCUCCAGCCAUGAACCACAAGCUGGGUCUGAGUGUGAAGACAGAACGCUGUGAACCCACCAUCUUCCCCUGUUGUCUCCCCUCCACCCCACUUACUUAGAAGAAGCCUAGGGGUGGCAACUUGGAUCACCCACCAUGGUGGUGCCUGGCACACUCAACUUGAGCUCCCUCGCAAAUAAUAAAAUCCAAAGAGAGACUUGUGCAGUGCGCACCA
rnacentral:lncRNA from 1 species